ACGCAGUUUCAGGAUCCCUGGGGCAGAUGACGGGGUGACAUGGUGGCUGAGAUUUGGGGGCAGGGGGAUUGAAGCCAGUGAGGGGUGAGCUGGGUUCCCAGG